UACAGAGGUCCCAAGCGUUGUUCGGAUUCACUGGGCGUAAAGGGUGCGUAGGCGGUCGGGUAAGUCUGACGUGAAAUCUUCAAGCUCAACUUGGAAACUGCGUCGGAUACUAUUCGGCUAGAGGAAUGGAGGGGAGACUGGAAUACUUGGUGUAGCAGUGAAAUGCGUAGAUAUCAAGUGGAACACCAGUGGCGAAGGCGAGUCUCUGGACAUUUCCUGACGCUGAGGCACGAGGGCCAGGGGAGCAAACGGG
rnacentral:rRNA from 1 species